UUGUGGGUCCUCUAACACUCCGCACCUAACGAAAAAGAAAACAAAGCGCAGAAGCACAUGAGCCUUUGCAUGCCCCCUUCUCCUCCUCUUGUUCUCCUCCCUUUCAGCAACUCCACUCGCCGACGAUCGUCGCCGAAUCCACUCUAAGCUAGCUCCGGCCGUGUCUAGACACAUCGAUACGCAGAGGAAUGGGCUGCACGGUGAGAGAGAAGCACGUGCGGACGAAUCGGAGGAUCCGAUCGGUGAAAAGCGAUGCAGAACAUUGCGGCUACGUCGAGAGGGCUUCCAUCGCGGAAUCGGCUCUCAAGCCCUGCUCUACUCAAAGCCCUAGUCCGGCCCUGACCCGGCCCAAUCCCGACGAAACCGGGUGGGGCUACUGCACCGAGGACCAAUUAGAGGAGCUGCUCCUCAAGAACCUCGACUUCGUAUACAACGAGGCGAUUUCGAAGCUGGUUGCUUUGGGUUAUGAUGAUGACCUGGCAUUGAAGGCCAUUCUGAGGAAUGGGCAUUGUUAUGGUGGAAUGGAUGUGCUGACUAACAUUAUGCAUAACUCUUUGGCUUAUUUGAAUAGUAGUAGUAGUAGUAGUAAUAAUAAUGCAGGGAGUAGGGAUGGGAAUGCCGAGGAGUCGGAGCCGGUUUUCGCCGAUUUGAGGCAGCUGGAGGAGUAUUCCCUGGCUGGGAUGGUGUGCAUGUUGCAGCAGGUGAGGCCGAGGUUGAGUAAAGGGGAUGCAAUGUGGUGUUUGCUGAUGAGCGAUCUUCAUGUCGGCAGGGCGAGUACGAUGGAGAUUCCGGUGCUUGGUGGGAAUGAGAGUGGUGGUGGUGGUGCUGCUGCUGCGGCGGGGAAUGGUGAGAGCGCCAACAGGAUGGUUAUGGCGCCCGCGCUGUGUAGGUUUCACGGCGGGUGGGGGUUCGGGAAUGGGGGGAGUUCGGAGUUUCCUGUUCAGGGGUUUGUUUCGUAUGGUGGUGAGUUGAAUUUGCAGAGGGAUAUUGAGUGUCCCAAGAGGUUUAAUCUUUCUCCUUCGAUGAAGUCGUUGUUGAAGAGGAAUGUGGCAAUGUUUGCGGCUGGGUUUAGAGCGAAUUCGAAGCAGUUGCAUUCGCAGCCGCAGGGUUCAGUUGGUAAUUUGACGAGUGGGGAUGCGGUGGUUGGAUUGGGGGCUGAAGUUGUGGUCCAGCAAUCUGAAGAGUCACAGAAGUCAAAGAACCAGGAGGUGGUUAACUCGGUGUUGAGUAAAUUUCGUGAUUUGAAUCUUGAUGAGAAUAUGGAACUUGUUGGGGAAGAUCAAAAGAAUGAGGUGAUUGUGACUUUACUUCAUCAGGUGAAAGAGCUUGAGAAGCAAGUGAAGGACAGGAAGGAGUGGGCCCACCAGAAGGCUAUGCAAGCUGCGAAAAAGCUCAGUAAUGAUUUGACAGAGCUUAAAAUGCUGAGGAUGGAAAGAGAGGAGACUCAAAAGUUGAAGAAAGGGAAACAAACUCUUGAGGACACAACCAUGAAGAGGCUCUCUGAGAUGGAAAAUGCUCUACGGAAGGCUAGUGGUCAAGUGGACCGUGCAAAUGCAGCUGUUAGAAGACUUGAGAAUGAGAAUGCAGAAAUCAGAGCAGAGAUGGAGGCUUCUAAAUUGAGUGCAUCAGAGUCGGUCACCACCUGUUUAGAGGUUGCAAAGAGGGAGAAAAAGGGCCUGAAGAGGCUUUUGGCUUGGGAGAAACAAAAAGGUAAAUUCCAGGAAGAGAUUGGAGAGGAGAAACAAAAGAUUUCAGAAUUGCAAAAACAGUUGGCUCGUAUCAAGCAGGAUCAGAAAGAAGCGGAGGUGAAGUGGAAGCAGGAGGUGAAGGCUAAGGAUGCAGCUUUGGCACUAGUAGAUGAGGAAAGAAUUGCUAAAGAAACAGCUGAGGCUGGUAAUAAACGAAAGCUCGAGGCACUGCGCCUAAAGAUAGAAAUAGAUUUCCAACGUCACAAGGAUGAUCUCCAAAGACUUGAGCAAGAACUCUCACGUCUAAAGUCAUCUGGAAAGUCAAAAGAAUUGCCUCUUCCAUCAAAUCCUCUGCCAAGAGGAGUUUCUGGUGGUGUAAAACCUCAAGGAGAAACAAUUGCCAAGAUGCUUCGUGAAUUAGAUAACCUGGAGAAUUCUGCAGAGAAAGAAAUCAGCUGUGAUAGAGAAUGCAUGAUAUGCAUGAAAGAUGAAGUGUCUGUUGUUUUCCUCCCUUGUGCUCAUCAAGUUCUCUGUUCUAAUUGCAAUGAUGAUUAUGGCAAGAAAGGUAGAGCUACAUGCCCGUGUUGCCAAGCUCCAAUUGAACAUAGAAUUCGAGUUUUUGGUGCAAGUUCUUAGUUUGCACGAACAGGGGUUUGUCCUCACUGAGUAUGACUUUUUCAGAGGUACGAACUUUCGACAUCCCUUCUCAUUCUUUUGUUGUAAUUCCACACUCCCAAGGAUCCCACAGGCAAGUAGAAGGUCCACAAUAACAUCUAUGGUGGGGUAACUUCUGUGCUUAGUUGCUUACCAUGUCCGAUUUGGCUAGGAAGAAGAAAACUUCGAAAAGGAACAUGCCACAUUGUUGGUGGCACUAUCAAAUUUAUAGAAUCUUCAAGGUCCAAACUGAAAGUUGGUGAUCUUUGCACGGAUGAAAUCAACAUGUUGUUACGGCACCAACCAGGAUCAUCUGCAAGGGCUAUCACAUUGUCAAUGAAAUUAGUGUUUUCUAUUAAGGAAAAUACAUGUUGAAAGGAAUCUAUUAGUCGCAUGAAGGAAUAGCUCUGGAGUCUGGCUAGCUAACCAUCCUGGGUUUUUCGUUUAUGAAUAUAAAAACAACAUGCAGCCAUGAAGAAAAUGAAGAUCACCGGCACAAAAGCGAGAACCACCCUUUGCCACAUAAUGAUAUAACCACUCCCUGAAUCUCCUCCCUGCUUCUCUGAAAACCAAAUGACAUCAAGAAACUGAGAACUUGAGUACGUAUAAUGCUCGACAAGCUACAAC